ensembl:snRNA U6 U6 spliceosomal RNA
GUGCUCACACUGGUAGCACAUAUACUAAAAUUGGAAUGAUACAGAGACGAUCAGCAUGGCCCUGUGCAAGGAUGAAAUGCAAAUUUGUGAACAGUGUUCCAUGUUUUU